rnacentral:rRNA from 1 species
AGUCAACAUAACCAAAGGACGUGGAUAAACUCGGGAAACUGAGGCUAAACCGCGAUAGAUCAAGAUACCUGGAAUGGUUUUUGAUCAAAAUCUAUAUGGCCUUUGGAUUGGACUGCGUCCGAUCAGGCUGUUGGUGAGGUAAUGGCCCACCAAACCUGUAACCGGUACGGGCUCUGAGAGGAGGAGCCCGGAGAUGGGUACUGAGACAAGGACCCAGGCCCUAUGGGGCGCAGCAGGCGCGAAACCUCUGCAAUAGGCGAAAGCUUGACAGGGUUAUUCUGAGUGAUUUCCGCUAAGGAAAUCUUUUGGCACCUCUAAAAAUGGUGCAGAAUAAGGGGUGGGCAAGCCUGGUGUCAGCCGCCGCGGUAAUACCAGCACCCCGAGUGGUCGGGACGAUUAUUGGGCCUAAAGCAUCCGUAGCCGGUUCUACAAGUCUUCCGUUAAAUCCAUCUGCUUAACAGAUGGGCUGCGGAGGAUACUAUGGAGCUAGGAGGCGGGAGAGGCAAGCGGUACUUAGUGGGUAGGGGUAAAAUCCGUUGAUCCACUGAAGACCACCAGUGGCGAAGGCGGCUUGCCAGAACGCGCUCGACGGUGAGGGAUGAAAGCUGGGGGAGCAAACCGGAUUAGAUACCCGGGUAGUCCCAGCUGUAAACGAUGCAGACUCGGUGAUGAAUAGGCUUCGUGCCUUUUCAGUGCCGCAGGGAAGCCGUUAAGUCUGCCGCCUGGGGGGUACGGUCGCAAGACUGAAACUUAA